rnacentral:rRNA from 1 species
GGCGCACCUGCCGGCGUGCUUACCAUGCAAGUCGACGAUGAACCGCUUUCGGGCGGGGAUUAGUGGCGAACGGGUGAGUAACACGUGGGCAAUCUGCCCUGCACUCUGGGACAAGCCCUGGAAACGGGGUCUAAUACCGGAUAUGACUGUCCGCCGCAUGGUGGAUGGUGUAAAGCUCCGGCGGUGCAGGAUGAGCCCGCGGCCUAUCAGCUUGUUGGUGAGGUAGUGGCUCACCAAGGCGACGACGGGUAGCCGGCCUGAGAGGGCGACCGGCCACACUGGGACUGAGACACGGCCCAGACUCCUACGGGAGGCAGCAGUGGGGAAUAUUGCACAAUGGGCGAAAGCCUGAUGCAGCGACGCCGCGUGAGGGAUGACGGCCUUCGGGUUGUAAACCUCUUUCAGCAGGGAAGAAGCGAGAGUGACGGUACCUGCAGAAGAAGCGCCGGCUAACUACGUGCCAGCAGCCGCGGUAAUACGUAGGGCGCAAGCGUUGUCCGGAAUUAUUGGGCGUAAAGAGCUCGUAGGCGGCUUGUCACGUCGGUUGUGAAAGCCCGGGGCUUAACCCCGGGUCUGCAGUCGAUACGGGCAGGCUAGAGUUCGGUAGGGGAGAUCGGAAUUCCUGGUGUAGCGGUGAAAUGCGCAGAUAUCAGGAGGAACACCGGUGGCGAAGGCGGAUCUCUGGGCCGAUACUGACGCUGAGGAGCGAAAGCGUGGGGAGCGAACAGGAUUAGAUACCCUGGUAGUCCACGCCGUAAACGGUGGGCACUAGGUGUGGGCAACAUUCCACGUUGUCCGUGCCGCAGCUAACGCAUUAAGUGCCCCGCCUGGGGAGUACGGCCGCAAGGCUAAAACUCAAAGGAAUUGACGGGGG